GAGCUCGCUCCCCGGGCCGCGCGCCCCGGUGCUCGCGAAAGCUCGCUGUCGCUGGGAGGCGCGCGCCGGCGUUCCUCGGCCGCUCCGGGUACCUGAGGGACGCGCGGCCGCCCCCAGCAGGCGGUGCAGCCCCCCCACCCCUUGGAGCCAGGCGCCGGGGUCUGAGGAUAGCAUUUCUCAAGACCUGACUUAUGGAGCACUUGUAACCUGAGAUAUUUCAGUUGAAGGAAGAAAUAGCUCUUCUCCUAAGAUGGAAUCUGUGGUUUGGGAAUGUGGUUGAUCAACUUGAUAUGUUGGCCAAAUGUGCCCCAUGUAAUAAAAUGAAAAGAAGAGACAAGAUGAUGUCAUUUUCCCAUAUUGUGAAACCAAAAACAAACGCCUUUUGUGAGACCAAGCUAACAAACCUCUGACGGUGCGAAGAGUAUUUAACUGUUUGAAGAAUUUAACAGUAAGAUACAGAAGAAGUACCUUCGAGCUGAGACCUGCAGGUGUAUAAAUAUCUAAAAUACAUAUUGAAUAGGCCUGAUCAUCUGAAUCUCCUUCAGACCCAGGAAGGAUGGCUAUGACUUGGAUUGUCUUCUCUCUUUGGCCCUUGACUGUGUUCAUGGGGCAUAUAGGUGGGCACAGUUUGUUUUCUUGUGAACCUAUUACCUUGAGGAUGUGCCAAGAUUUGCCUUAUAAUACUACCUUCAUGCCUAAUCUUCUGAAUCAUUAUGACCAACAGACAGCAGCUUUGGCAAUGGAGCCAUUCCACCCUAUGGUGAAUCUGGAUUGUUCUCGGGAUUUCCGGCCUUUUCUUUGUGCACUCUAUGCUCCUAUUUGUAUGGAAUAUGGACGUGUCACACUUCCCUGUCGUAGGCUGUGUCAGCGGGCUUACAGUGAGUGUUCGAAGCUCAUGGAGAUGUUUGGUGUUCCUUGGCCUGAAGAUAUGGAAUGCAGUAGGUUCCCAGAUUGUGAUGAGCCAUAUCCUCGACUUGUGGAUCUGAAUUUAGCUGGAGAACCAACUGAAGGAGCCCCAGUGGCAGUGCAGAGAGACUAUGGUUUUUGGUGUCCCCGAGAGUUAAAAAUUGAUCCUGAUCUGGGUUAUUCUUUUCUGCACGUGCGUGAUUGUUCACCUCCUUGUCCAAAUAUGUACUUCAGAAGAGAAGAACUGUCAUUUGCUCGCUAUUUCAUAGGAUUGAUUUCAAUCAUUUGCCUCUCGGCCACAUUGUUUACUUUUUUAACUUUUUUGAUUGAUGUCACAAGAUUCCGUUAUCCUGAAAGGCCUAUUAUAUUUUAUGCAGUCUGCUACAUGAUGGUAUCCUUAAUUUUCUUCAUUGGAUUUUUGCUUGAAGAUCGAGUAGCCUGCAAUGCAUCCAUCCCUGCACAAUAUAAGGCUUCCACAGUGACACAAGGAUCUCAUAAUAAAGCCUGUACCAUGCUUUUUAUGAUACUCUAUUUUUUUACUAUGGCUGGCAGUGUAUGGUGGGUAAUUCUUACCAUCACAUGGUUUUUAGCAGCUGUGCCAAAGUGGGGUAGUGAAGCUAUUGAGAAGAAAGCAUUGCUGUUUCACGCCAGUGCGUGGGGCAUCCCCGGAACUCUAACCAUCAUCCUUUUAGCGAUGAAUAAAAUUGAAGGUGACAAUAUUAGUGGCGUGUGUUUUGUUGGCCUCUACGAUGUUGAUGCAUUGAGAUAUUUUGUUCUUGCUCCCCUCUGCCUGUAUGUGGUAGUUGGGGUUUCUCUCCUCUUAGCUGGCAUUAUAUCCCUAAACAGAGUUCGAAUUGAGAUUCCAUUAGAAAAGGAGAACCAAGAUAAAUUAGUGAAGUUUAUGAUCCGGAUUGGUGUUUUCAGCAUUCUUUAUCUCGUACCACUCUUGGUUGUAAUUGGAUGCUACUUUUAUGAGCAAGCUUACCGGGGCAUCUGGGAAACAACGUGGAUACAAGAACGCUGCAGAGAAUAUCACAUUCCAUGUCCGUAUCAGGCAGUUCCAAAAGGAAUCAGAAUUGUUUAUGAAAGGACCAUGAGGGAAAUGGGUUACUCAAAUGAGUCGUCCAGACUUGAUUCUCUUUCUGAUGAAAUACCUGAUGGCUCUCAUAGUUGGCAUUCCCUCUGUAUUUUGGGUUGGAAGCAAAAAGACAUGCUUUGAAUGGGCCAGUUUUUUUCAUGGUCGUAGGAAAAAAGAGAUAGUGAAUGAGAGCCGACAGGUACUCCAGGAACCUGAUUUUGCUCAGUCUCUCCUGAGGGAUCCAAAUACUCCUAUCAUAAGAAAGUCAAGGGGAACUUCCACUCAAGGAACAUCCACCCAUGCUUCUUCAACUCAGCUGGCUAUGGUGGAUGAUCAAAGAAGCAAAGCAGGAAGCAUCCACAGCAAAGUGAGCAGCUACCACGGCAGCCUCCACAGAUCACGUGAUGGCAGGUACACGCCCUGCAGUUACAGAGGAAUGGAGGAGAGACUACCUCAUGGCAGCAUGUCACGACUAACAGAUCACUCCAGGCAUAGUAGUUCUCAUCGGCUCAAUGAACAGUCACGACAUAGCAGCAUCAGGGAUCUCAGUAAUAAUCCCAUGACUCAUAUCACACAUGGCACCAGCAUGAAUCGGGUUAUUGAAGAAGAUGGAACCAGUGCUUAAUUUGUCUUGUCUAAGGUGGAAACCUUGUGCUGUUUAAAAAGCAGAUUUUAUUCUUUGCCUUUUGCAUGACUGAUAGCUGUAACUCACUGUUAACAUGCUUUCAGUCAAGUACAGAUUGUGUCCACUGGAAAGGUAAAUGUUUGCUUUUUUAUAUUGCAUCAAACUUGGAACAUCAAGGCAUCCAAAACACUAAGAAUUCUAUCAUCACAAAAAUAAUUCAUCUUUCUAGGUUAUGAAGAGAUAACUAUUUGUCUGGUAAGCAUUUUUAUAAACCCACUCAUUUUAUAUUUAGAAAAAUCCUAAAUGUGUGGUGACUGCUUUGUAGUGAACUUUCAUAUACUAUAAACUAGUUGUGAGAUAACAUUCUGGUAGCUCAGUUAAUAAAACAAUUUCAGAAUUAAAGAAAUUUUCUAUGCAAGGUUUACUUCUCAGAUGAACAGUAGGACUUUGUAGUUUUAUUUCCACUAAGUGAAAAAAGAACUGUGUUUUUAAACUGUAGGAGAAUUUAAUAAAUCAGCAAGGGUAUUUUAGCUAGUAGAAUAAAAGUGCAACAGAAGAAUUUGAUUAGUCUAUGAAAGAUUCUCUUAAAAUUCUAUCGAAAUAAUCUUCAUGCAGAGAUAUUCAGGGUUUGGAUUAGCAGUGGAAUAAAGAGAUGGGCAUUGUUUCCCCUAUAAUUGUGCUGUUUUUAUAACUUUUGUAAAUAUUACUUUUUCUGGCUGUGUUUUUAUAACUUAUCCAUAUGCAUGAUGGAAAAAUUUUAAUUUGUAGCCAUCUUUUCCCAUGUAAUAGUAUUGAUUCAUAGAGAACUUAAUGUUCAAAAUUUGCUUUGUGGAGGCAUGUAAUAAGAUAAACAUCAUACAUUAUAAGGUAACCACAAUUACAAAAUGGCAAAACAUUUUCUCUGUAUUCAUUGUUGUAUUUUUCUACAGUGAGAUGUGAUCUUGCCAAAGCCACCAGACUUUGGCUUCCAGGCCCUCCUAUAGUGAGUUGAUUGUCUGCACUUGCCUUGCCCAAUAGCCAGUAGGCUACAGCUUUUGCCCCACACCCUUAUUUUCAGAUUCUGGAUCAUUCUUGUUUACAACUGAAAUAUAUAUAACCUCAGUCCAAAGUGGUGAUUGAUUUGAGUAUUUGAAAAUUGUUGUAGCUAAAUGAAGCAUGAUUAGUUAGUCUUAGUAUGAAUAUCAUUUAAUCUUUAAAAAAUCAAGUAAAAAUGUUUAUCUGAUAAUGUUUAAAUAAUUUACAAUAUAAACUGUAAACCUUAUUAGGCAUGAAAUCAAUCAGAAGAGAAAGAAAAAUGCUGGAACAUGCUUGAUGUAUUAUGUAAAAAGCAUAUUUAAACAAGGGUCCUCAACCCUGACUGCAGAUAAGAAUCACUUGGGUUACUUCAGAUGCCUAACACCUUCCUCUCAUACAAAUAAGAAUUGGUAGCUUUCUUAAAAAAAAAAAAAAAAAAAGCGUUCCAGGUGAUUCUAAUCUGCAGCCUGGCUUGAAACUCACUACUUUAACUUGCCCCUGAUGAUCUGAUGGCAUCAUAUAUCACAUGAACAUCCACAUGGAUUCAGUCUUUCGCUUUUAUAUCAUUAUCUAAUAUUCAGUUGUUCUGCACCUGAUGCCAAAUUCUGGGCUCUACUCCUAGAGAGACUUACUCAGUAAGGCCAAAGUGAUAGGACUUUAAAAUCUGUAGUUAUAAAAAUACCGCAGGUGAUUCUUACGCAGGUAAUCCAAGAAUCAUACUUUGAAGAAUUAUUCUAGACUCUGAAGAGGCCUGGCUCUGCCUUACGCUAUUAUAGUUUAUGACCUUUAACAAUUUAACUCUCCGAGCCUCAGUUCCCUUGUUUGUAAAUGAAGACAGAAGAUAAAUACGUACUCUACCUACCUCACAAAGCUGUCAGAUUAAGAUCAAGUGAAAAAAAUUAUGUGAAAGCUCUUUGAAAACUGUAAAGCAUUAUGAAUGAUAAGGGAUUAGGUUAUUGUGGAUUUAAGAGGUGUGAGGACUGCUAUAGUACAUUCCUUGACGUGUGUUGAAUUCAUGUAUACUUACUUUCUUACCCUUUAAAACAAAAACUGCCAAGAAAUUAGGUGUUGAAAAAGAAUUUUCUCAUCAGGCAGCAAAGUCAGUUUUCUGAUAGUAAUAAUUUGUCUAUUAUGUUAUAUAUUUCAAAGUACAUGUAUGAUAAUAUGACUUAUUCUUCAUGAGAGAUAUUUGAAUAUUUGGCCCAAAAUGUUUUUCAUUUUUCUCUGUGUUCAUUGCCUUUCUCCUUGGAGCUGGAGUUAAUGCUCAAAGCAGGCAGGUCUGAAUUCCCUCAUAACUGACAAUUAGUAAACAUUUUCUCUGAAAGCCAAACAUAUAACAACUUAUUUAUCAAUAAUUCAUGAAGCUUUUGUCUGAGAAUCUCUCCUGCAAACAGCAUGAGAGAACUAAAACAAACAUUCACAAACAAAAAUAAGUUAAAAUAGAAGGUACCAGUUUGGGCUCGAAGAUGUUGUCAUCCAUUGCCAUCUGCAUUAUAUUAUCAACUGCCAAAAUGUUAAUUGGUUUUCUUUUACAAGUGGGCCAAGUAUAGACAGUUAAGUGAACAUCACUAUGAAAAUCUUAACUUUGUGCUUCUAGAUUUUUAGAUAAUCAUUUGUAUUUUCUCUAUUAAAUUAAUUGUGGGUAUGUAGGGAAUACUAUAUUGACUUUUCAGUUAGUUUCAGUAAGUAUCUUAAUUUUGUCCCACAAAAUUUAUGUAAUAUUAUUAAUCCAUGGUUUUAAACAACAGUAUUUAGUUUGGGCAGCAGUUUUAAGUCUAACUAGCUUAAACCAAUCUGAAUAAGUCUGGACAGUUUUCCUACCAUAUGUUUAACUUUGAUUGGCAUAUGAUAAUGUUUAGUGUUUUCUUUUUUCAGUUGACAACUGAGAAAAUAAUAGUUCUCUCUAACAUGUUAAUAUAUUAUCAAAAGGUUUUCAAAAAGUACUUUGAUUUCAGCAACAUUGUUUUAUUCAGUAACUAGACAAAAGAUCUAAGAUAAUAUUAAACUCAAAACAGUUUGUUUCAAAGAACAAUUGGUUAAUAACUCAGCUGGCACAGGGAUUCAUACACAGUUUUUCAAUAAAUAUUUAAAUGAACAAUUCAUGUCACACAACUUGCUUUUACCCUAGUACUGAGUCUCACAUCAAAGAAAUUUGAAAGAUCUAUAACCUAUGUGAAAUGAAGUCUCUGCUUUACCAGAAUAAUAUGUGGCAGGUAAUAAAUAUGUAAAGUACACCAAAUGAAACAUAUUUUGCAUAGAUAACAGUCCAUAUCACUAUUAUAAUUAAAGAAAUAUAUGUACAGACAUGUACCAAUCCUUUUAAUUAAUUUUAGAAGAUGAACAGUGAUUCUUAGAAGUGAGUAAUUAGACUCCUUUUAGUCUUAUGCUGUUAGAUCUUUGUGGACCAGCUGGGUAAAUGAAUCUUCAAAUCAACCUUUCUUUUUCUGCUGCUCUUAGAGCAGAUUUAUAAAAAUUCUAAGAAUAUCUUCAAAUUAGAAAAAUUUACUACAUUUUAACCUACCUCAUCAGUUUCUUUGUGAUAAUAGCUGAAAAUAAACUGUACCCAUCUUAGUUUAGGCUAUAUCUCUGUGAAAUGAAAGGAACCACUUAAUUUUUUUAUAUAAAUUAGUGAAUCAUUUGCUGGAGCUUAGAAAAUAUUAACAUACCAAAAUUUCAUUAUGAUAUUUAUAUUGCUUUUUGACAUGCCAAAGGUACAUUUACAUAUUACCAUAUUUGGAUGACUUACAUAGUCUGGUGUAAUGAAAAUUCCCCUGGGAUUGGAAUUUUAAGACUCAUGAUGUCAACUGGGCUGGUCAUUUUAUUUCUCUGAGUCUUUGUUUCUUCAAUGUAAAAUGUGGAUAAGGUAAUUUUUGGUUUUAGCCUCCCUCACUGGAUAUUGUAAGGAUCAAAUGAAAUAGUAUUUAUUAUAAUGCUCUGUAACCCAUAAAUUAUUCUACUUAAAUGUUUUUUUUAUAGAGACAGGGUCUUGCUCUGUCACACAGCCUGGAGAGCAGUGGCAUAAUCAUAGUUCAUUAUAACCUUGAACUCCUAGGCUCAAGCAGUCCUCCAGCUUCAGCCUCCCAAGUAGCUAAGACUGUAGGCAUGCACCACUACACCUGGCUAAUUUUAAUUUUUUUUUUCUUUUUUUGAGACGGAGUCUGGCUUUGUUGCCCAGGCUGGAGUGCAGUGGCACAAUCUCAGCUCACUGCAACCUCCACCUCCCGGGUUCAAGUGAUUCUUCUGCCUCAGCCUCCCGAGUAACUGGGACUACAGGUGCGUGCCACCACAUCCAGCUAGUUUUUGUAUUUUUAGUGGAGAUGGAGUUUUGCCAUGUUGGCCAGGAGUUUUGCCAUGUUGGUCUCAAACUCCUGACCUCAAGUGAUCCGCCCACCUCAGCCUCCCAAAGUGCUAGGAUUACAGGCAUGAGUCACUGCACCCGGCUUAAUUUUAAUUUUUUUAAUUUUUUGUAGAGAUGAGUCUCACUAUGUUGACCAGGCUGGUCUUGAACUCCUGGCCUCCUAAAGCACUGGGAUUACAAGCAUGAGCCACCAUGCCUGAUCCAUAAAUUGUUCUACUGAUACCAUUUGGUUUUGUUAGAAUUUGGGGGGGCUGUAGAAAACAAGGUUACAGUCUUCAUUAGUAUUUCUUUUUAGCAAUAACAACAAAAUAGGCAAUUAGACCAGUGUUCAUUUGGUACAGUCUUUAAAUCGGUCAUCCAAUUAACCUUUAAAAAGUAGGUUAUGCUCUUAAAUUGUAUUGGUUCUUUAAUAUGUGUUAUACCAGAGUAUGCACUCAAAUUUUAUGUAGUUGAAUUUGUAGAACAAAUUUGGGGAUAUUCAUUUUAUUUUUCCUUUUAUAUGAAAUUGUAUAAGUACAUUAGCUUGACUUAAAUUAUAAAAAAAAUAUAUAUGAAGAAGAAUGUAGACCCUAUAAUGUUCUUUGUCUUUGACUUUUUGGCUUUUAUGUACCUCAUUCUUUCUGAUUGAGAACAAGUUUUGAAAAAGUGAUUCACUUGUUGGUUUUCAUCAUGGCAAAACUUUAAAUUUUAAGUCAUCACACUAUGAGAAUUGUUUGUACACAUUUAUAAUUUUUUUGAAGUAUGUGAAGUAAGGAUUUUUUUCUCCAUUCUUCACUCACAAAGGAUAGCAUUUUUAUGGAACCUAGAUUUACAAAGGAACUCAUGAUUCUUUUCAAUGCUUUUAUGUCGUUUUACAGCUGAUUAAGAAAAAAUGUUUACAUUUAAUUCAGCUGUAUUUCCUAGUAGCUGUAUAAUCUUACACAUUAUUCUUAUAUAAUUUUGACCUAUUUUAUAUGAAAAUAAUUGUAUUGGCAUCUCUUCAUAAUUUAAUUCUCUUCUCUCCUUCUUUUGUUCCGAUUAGAUGAAUUUGGGAAAGGAGUAGGAAGACUAGGUAUCACAUGCCUUCCGUCUGAUUGUAAUCAGUCUCCUGGGUUUUUUACUAAUUUAAUCUUAAUCCUGUGCUUCUUUAGUCAUCAAAUUGAUAUAGGAUUACAAUUUUCUCUCAGGAUCCAAGUCUUCUAAGAAUGAAAAUGUUGAAGUCUACCCAGAACCAGCCAUCCUUGUAGACAUUUCUAUUUGGUUGAUUUAUAAAGAUUUAAUAUAUAAAGAUUUAAUAUGAGUUAAACAUGUUUUUUAUUCUGUGAUCUCUAAUUAGAAAGUAAAAUUCUGUUGCCAUAAAUAUAAAAGAAAGUUUUCACUUAUAUUUUAGUCAAACACCAAACCACUACAUUACUUACUUCCUAUAAGACACAGUAGUUCAAUCUGUUGAAAUGCAUUGAAGGAUAAUUUCCUUCAGAUUACUUUUUAAAUCAUCAUCUGCCUCAGGAAAUUCUUUCUUGAAUUUUUUUGUUGGUGUGAAAGCGUUGCUUAUACUUUAUGCUCGUUUUAUUGGUCACUGUCACCAGUUUUUCCCAAUAAAGAUUAAAAAUGUUUUUUACCUUGAAAUAAUUCAGAUUUUGAAGAUUCACUGUUUCAUUAUUUUGCUAAUUACCAUUAACUAGUAAAGUUAGUUUUUAAAGUUUUUUUAAGGUUGAUAUUUUAUCAUAUUCCUGGAGUAGGAUGGAUUACUUUAUUAUUAUUGUAGCUUUACGGUUUUUUGUUGUAUAAGUCAGCUUGUUUGUAUAUGCUAAAUUGCAGAUAUUUCUUUGUGUUGUGCUUAUUGGUUUUUUUUUUUUUAACUUAGAGCUUAAUAAUUUCUAUUUUCUAUCCUGGAGUCUAAAAUUAAACAAAAAAAUCUAUUUUCUAAAUUGGCAGGAUUUUUUUAAUGAUUAGUAAAAAUGUAUUAUUUUAUUUUAAAAAAUACAAUAGGAUUUUGAGUCAAGAAACUUGACUUCUACUCUUGCCUCUCUUUUGCAGUUAGCUGUGUAACUUUGGAUAAGGCAUUUUGUCUCAUGGUGCCUCCAUUUUUCUCAUUCUCUAGGGAACAAGAGAAUUAGUUUAGGUAGCGUCUAAAAUUCCGCCCAGCUCUCAUUUGGUUCUCAUUUGACCAUUUUAUAAUCAUUAUUUUGGUCUCAUUUUUAUUCUUCUUAUUCAUCCCAUGAACUAGAUCAACUUGUAUUAUUUUACUAGAUCAACCUGUAUUAUUAACGUCAUUUACAUGUAAAUUGAUGGGAUUCAGAUAUUUUAUCAACUGUUUUUCCAUUAGUGAUUUUAAGUAAUUUUAAAGAAGGAAAAUUAUAUUACAGAUAAUAAAAAUGAAAGAAAGUUAUAAAUAUUGGACAUGGCUUUUUUAAAUGGGAAAGUCUUCUUAAGCACCAAUAUAAGCACCUUAAAUUGAUACAUAGAAAAGAAUGACAUAACGUUUUGUGGUCUUUGUUCUCUUAAAUAUGAAUAUAGCUAGUUAGCCUAAAAUUUACACAAAAUGUAUUCAAGAUCAAAUUAGUGAACAAAGCAAUGGUUCGUAUGGCUAAUUUAAAAGCAAUUCAAUUUACCAAUAUUAAAAUAAUUAUAAAAUGUAAAAGAAAAUUCAGAGGAGUUGAUUGAAAAUUUUUUGUUCAGUAAUUAUUCUUAAACUGCAUUCUUAGGUUUAUUACAUAAAUAUAGUUGCCAGAUUGCCAUGGGCAAGUGAAUGUCUUCAUUUGAAAUAUUAUUAGAGAUCAAUGUGGCUUGUUAUUUUUAAUUUUUUUCUGGCUAUACAGAAAAUGUUUCUGGAAAAAUUCCUUAAUUGUCAUCUGAUACCAUGUAGAGAUUGAGGCCAGACGCAGUGGCUCACGCCUGUAAUCCCAGCACUUUGGGAGGCCGAGGUGGGCAGAUCACUUGAGGUCAGGAGUUUGAGACCAGCCUGAUCAACAUGGCAAAUCCCCUUCUGUACUAAAAAUACAAAAAUUAGCCAGGCGCAGUGGCUCACACCUGUAAUCCCAACACUUUGGGAGGCCGAGGCGGGCGCAUCACGAGGUCAGGAGAUCAAGACCGUCCUGGCUAACAUGGUGAAACCCUGUCUCUACUAAAAACACAAAAAAAUUAGCCGGGCAUGGUGGCGGGCACCUGUAGUCCCAGCCACUCGAGAGGCUGAGGCAGGAGAAUGGCGUGAACCCGGGAGGCGGAGCUUGCAGUGAGCUGAGAUCGCACCGCUGCACUCCAGCCUGGGCAAUGGAGCGAGACUCUAUCUCAAAAAAAAAAAAAAAAAAAAAAAAAAAGAA